rnacentral:rRNA from 1 species
GUGAGGAAUUUUCCGCAAUGGGCGAAAGCCUGACGGAGCAAUGCCGCGUGAAGGAUGAAGGCCUAUGGGUUGUAAACUUCUUUUCUCAGAAAAGAAUUAUGACGGUAUCUGAGGAAUAAGCAUCGGCUAACUCUGUGCCAGCAGCCGCGGUAAGACAGAGGAUGCAAGCGUUAUCCGGAAUGAUUGGGCGUAAAGCGUCUGUAGGUUGUUUAAAAAGUAUUCUGUCAAAGAUUAGGGCUUAACCCUAGAUAGGCAGAAUAAACUUUUAAGCUAGAGUUUGGUAGAGGCAGAGGGAAUUCCCGGUGGAGCGGUGAAAUGCGUAGACAUCGGGAGGAACACCAAAGGCGAAGGCACUCUGCUGGGCCAAUACUAACACUGAGAGACGAAAGCGAGGGGAGCAAAUGGGAUUAGAAACCCCUGUAGUCC